rnacentral:tRNA from 1 species
CAAGACAUAGCUUAAACAAAGCACCUAGUUUACACCUAGAAGAUCUCGCACGCCAACGAGUAUCUUGA